rnacentral:sRNA from 1 species
GCACUGGCUAACCUCGGACUUUCGAUGUGCUUUUUGCCUUGAUGCUUUGCUUUUCUAUGUGCGUCUGCUUCUGUUAACCUUCCAUCAACCUGGAGGUUUCACCAUCCCAGGGAGGUGUCAGUCUUUCUCAGUUCACCCCGUCAUUAUCCCCAGGAUGGUCUGAAAGGAAGGGUCCCUUUGGGAACUUCUCAGGAGGGAGACCUGGGCCAAGGGCUCGGCCAGCAUCUCCCUGGCAAUUCCAAGGCCCAGGGUGGGCUUCUGGAAGGAGCAUGAUUCCCGAGGCCAUGCUACUGAACUGCCAGGGGUAUCCCCACCUCUUCCAGAUCUCCUCGUCCUUUCUGGGGAAUUGGGAUCGAGAAAAGCAACCUCCCAGGGUGUUGUGAGUGUUGGUCCGAUUCUGGGAAGCUGGUAAGGCCAGGCAUAGAAGAGGCGGUCAGUAAAUGUUUUUCCCAAACAGGUUGGUCGACCACGUCCCCCUCGCCCCCCUCACCUGUCCCACGCUUCUCGUUUAUCCUCCCACAGCGCUCCGGACAACCCCAGUCCGCAGGGCUCUCGGUGUACCAGCCCCGCCUCCUGUAAAGCCUAUCUACAUUCGCUGUCUUCCUUCCUCACCUUCCGUUUCCCCUCCAACCCACCGCUUCGUGGUCUCCUCUGGUUCGUUGAACUCCACCAGCUCUCAGGUCUGCCCACCCAAGCGCUGUGUCCCGGCGAGUCCCAGGCUCGGCGCCCGUGCCUCCCCAGGCCUUGUGGCCCGUCUGGGGGCUGCUCCCUGGCCUGUUGCUUCCCACACCUCUUCCCAUCCUUGCCGCCCCCACGAGCCACCUCCCUCCACCGAAAACCAGAUGGCAGGAGCCCCGGCGGCCCCGGAUCGUGAACGCCUGGACAGAGGAGGUGGAGGAGCUGCCCUGGAGCAGCACGUCUUCCGCAGGGUCACCUGGCGUCUUGCGCCUGCCCUGAGCUGCGACGCUGCUGCCUGGCUUGGGCCGAAGCCAUCAUCUGGAAUCCUCCGUGGUCCAGGACCUCGAACCCGCCACCCCAGCACCCUCUGGCCCCACAAUCGGCAAACUAGGAUGGAAGUGGCCUAGCUGGGGGGCCCUUCGAUGGGCCAAGGAGAAAACGCAGGCAGUGGCACCAGCCUCUGAAGCCGUCUCCGAGCUCCAAUAAUCUUCGCUUGCCUCCCCCCUUGAAAUGUCCCAAUGGACAGACUUUCUGUCUUCAAAGCUUCGGGCCAAACCUCUUCAAGCUUUUUAUUGUUUGGGACUGGGACGCUUAGCAAUAAUGAUGGGUAGUUCCUUUUUUAUUUGCCUUGAAAGGCCAAAAUAUAUUUUUGUGUGCGUGACUAUAGACAAAAAAAAAAAA